rnacentral:rRNA from 1 species
UUAGAGCGUUCUGUAAGCCUGCGAAGGUGUCUUGUAAAGGAUGCUGGAGGUAUCAGAAGUGCGAAUGCUGACAUGAGUAGCGAUAAUGGGGGUGAAAAGCCUCCACGCCGUAGGCCCAAGGUUUCCUGUUCAACGUUCAUCGGAGCAGGGUGAGUCGGCCCCUAAGGCGAGGCAGAGAUGCGUAGCUGAUGGGAAGCAGGUUAAUAUUCCUGCACCGUCGUUAGAUGCGAUGGGGGGACGGAUCGCGGAAGGUUGUCCGGGUGUUGGAUGUCCCGGUUUGUGCAUCAGAGAAGGCUGUUAGGCAAAUCCGGCAGCGUAAUUCAAGGGUGUGCGACGAGUGGCCUUGUGCCGCGAAGCAAUCGGAAGUGGUUCCAAGAAAAGCCUCUAAGCUUCAGUCUAACGAGACCGUACCGCAAACCGACACAGGUGGGCGAGAUGAGUAUUCUAAGGCGCUUGAGAGAACUCGGGAGAAGGAACUCGGCAAAUUGGUACCGUAACUUCGGGAUAAGGUACGCCCUUGUAGUUUGACUGGCCUGCGCCAGAAGGACGAAGGGGUUGCAAUAAAUUGGUGGCUGCGACUGUUUAAUAAAAACACAGCACUCUGCAAACACGAAAGUGGACGUAUAGGGUGUGACUCCUGCCCGGUGCUGGAAGAUUAAAUGAUGGGGUGCAAGCUCUUGAUUGAAGUCCCAGUAAACGGCGGCCGUAACGAUAACGGUCCUAAGGUAGCGAAAUUCCUUGUCGGGUAAGUUCCGACCUGCACGAAUGGAGUAACGAUGGCCACACUGUCUCCUCCCGAGACUCAGCGAAGUUGAAAUGUUUGUGAUGAUGCAAUCUACCCGCGGCUAGACGGAAAGACCCCAUGAACCUUUACUGUAGCUUUGCAUUGGACUUUGAACCAAUCUGUGUAGGAUAGGUGGGAGGCUUUGAAGCGGGGACGCCAGUUCUCGUGGAGCCAUCCUUGAAAUACCACCCUGGUUUGUUUGAGGUUCUAACCUUGGUCCGUUAUCCGGAUCGGGGACAGUGCAUGGUAGGCAGUUUGACUGGGGCGGUCUCCUCCCAAAGUGUAACGGAGGAGUUCGAAGGUACGCUAAUUACGGUCGGACAUCGUGAUGAUAGUGCAAUGGCAUAAGCGUGCUUAACUGCGAGACUGACAAGUCGAGCAGGUACGAAAGUAGGACAUAGUGAUCCGGUGGUUCUGUAUGGAAGGGCCAUCGCUCAACGGAUAAAAGGUACUUUGGGGAUAACAGGCUGAUUCCUCCCAAGAGUUCAUAUCGACGGGGGAGUUUGGCACCUCGAUGUCGGCUCAUCACAUCCUGGGGCUGUAGCCGGUCCCAAGGGUAUGGCUGUUCGCCAUUUAAAGUGGUACGUGAGCUGGGUUUAAAACGUCGUGAGACAGUUUGGUCCCUAUCUGCCGUGGGCGUUGGAAAUUUGAAGGGGGCUGCUCCUAGUACGAGAGGACCGGAGUGGACGAACCUCUGGUGUACCGGUUGUCACGCCAGUGGCAUUGCCGGGUAGCUAAGUUCGGAAGAGAUAACCGCUGAAAGCAUCUAAGCGGGAAACUUGCCUUGAGAUGAGAUUUCCCAGAGCCUUGAGCUCUUUAAAGGGUCGUUCGAGACCAGGACGUUGAUAGGCUGGGUGUGGAACCA